rnacentral:rRNA from 1 species
AAACUAGGAUUAGAUACCCUAUUAUAAAAUAAAUCAAUUGAAGCUAGUAAAAGUCUUUCUAAAAAUCUAAUUAAUUUGGCGGCAUUUUAACUUAUUAGAGGAGCCUGUGAACUAAUCGACAAUCCACGCAACAUCUCACUUCUAUAAAAAUUCAUAUACCAUUGUUGGUAGGAGUUCUAAAAAAGAUUAACUCCAAAAAAAAAUAGAAUUAAUUCUUCAAAUCAAGGUGUGAUAAAUAUAGGAAGAAAAACAUGUGCUACAAUUUUUAAAAAAGUGAAUAAAAGAAAAGUCAAAAAUGGAUUUAAUAGUAAAAUUUUCAUAAAAAGUAAAUUUGAAAUAGUCAUAAAAUGUGCACACAUCGCCCGUCGCUCUUA